UACGUAGGGUGCAAGCGUUGUCCGGAAUUAUUGGGCGUAAAGAGCUCGUAGGCGGUCUGUCGCGUCUGCUGUGAAAACUCGGGGCUUAACCCCGGGCCUGCAGUGGGUACGGGCAGACUAGAGUGCGGUAGGGGAGACUGGAAUUCCUGGUGUAGCGGUGAAAUGCGUAGAUAUCGGGAGGAACACCUGAGGCGAAGGCGGGCUACUGGGCCGAUACUGACGCUGAGAAGCGAAAGCAUGGGGAGCGAACAGG
rnacentral:rRNA from 1 species